GUAGGAGCUCGCUGAGUUCUGGUUCAGAAGAUGCAUUCUGUCCAUGAGUCCCCGAUCUCUUUUCGGGCAGUCUUAGCAGAGGUCAUGUGCAGGCCUGGAUCCCUCUUGCUGGGCCUCAGUCUCCUCAUCUACAAAAUGGGCACAAUGAUGUUUCCUACCAUCAGGGCUACUGAGGAGGGUGGGUGCCUGCAGUGCUGUGAUGUGGGAAGCCCAAACAAACCUUGUCACAGGGCGUGGUGCCCCCUGGUCCUGCUGGGAGCUUGGAGCCCAUCUUAAACCUCCCCUCCCCCAUGGAGCAGUACUUUAUUCUGCCAGUCUUCUUUCCUGCCCACAAACCUCACACAGGCCUGCUUUGCAGUUGGUCUCCCUCAAUUUGGCAGAAGAGCUGAGCAAAAAAAAAAAAAAAGAUGGUCUGAGCCUCCUGGAGCAGACGGUGUGGGAGAAGAGAAACCACAGAGGCAAGAGGGGGUGCUCAGAGCCUGAGAAACCCCAGCUCAACUCCCCUCUCCUGGUCUUGGGCUUCAGGUCUCCCUCUUGGGGAUGGACAUGGGCAAACAGAGCUUUACCAGGAUGCAGACAAGGACUAGACACAGCGGGGCUCCUGCUUGUAGGAGAUUUGGCAUCGAGGAUUGGUUUGAUGGCAAAGACGCCAACAGCCAGGUUUGCAGAGAACCUAAAGCUGGGAGAGAGGGUAUCUACAAAGGAGGACAGAACCAGAAUCGAAAAUGACUGGAGGACUGAAUGCCGAGCCUGCCGCUUUCCAGGUUGGAUGAAGGAUGGCAGGGGCGACACCUCCCACCCCGACCUCCUCUCUGUCCUCCAUCUGAGGCCGGUCCUAUAGUUGAAUCGCUUUCCCCGCAGCCAGUUUCCCUCUCCUCCGCAUUCUUCUGGGUGUGGGAUGUGCCUGCAAGAAGCGGAGCUCCAUCCAACCUGCUUUUCCUCCGCAACAGCCAAGUGCCCGCGCAGCGCCCCCGCCUGGGAGGCUCUGUGUGCGCCCUCUGGUGUCCGCUGGUGGCAUUGCGCUGAACUAAGCGCCAACCCCAAUGGAGUUGGAAUCAGGCACCUUGAUAGAAAUCCUGGCCCUCCACCCACAGAUGAA
ensembl:lncRNA